GGGGCUGUAGCUCAGCUGGGAGAGCGCACCGUUCGCAUCGGUGAGGUCAGGGGUUCGAUCCCCCUCAGCUCCA
rnacentral:tRNA from 3 species